rnacentral:rRNA from 1 species
AACGCGAAGAACCUUACCUGGGUUUGACAUCCCCUGACAGCUCUAGAGAUAGGGUUUUCUCUUCGGAGACAGGGAGACAGGUGCUGCAUGGCUGUCGUCAGCUCGUAUCGUGAGAUGUCGGGUUAAGUCCCUUAACGAGCGCAACCCUUGUCCGUAGUUGCCAUCAUUUAGUUGGGCACUCUACGGAGACUGCCGGUGUUAAACCGGAGGAAGGUGGGGAUGACGUCAAGUCCUCAUGGCCCUUAUGUCCAGGGCAACACACGUGCUACAAUGGCCGGUACAAAGGGUUGCCAACCCGCAAGGGGGAGCUAAUCCCAGAAAGCCGGUCUCAGUUCGGAUUGAAGUCUGCAACUCGACUUCAUGAAGCUGGAAUCGCUAGUAAUCGCGGAUCAGCACGCCGCGGUGAAUACGUUCCCGGGCCUUGUACACACCGCGAGC